UGAUUGUCCAUGAGAAAGAGUGAAUACAA
rnacentral:piRNA from 1 species